GAGAAAUAACAGUGCUAAUGCAUAUAUUUAUAUAUAUUUAGUACUAUCUACCAAAUUCAAUUUAAACUUAGAAAAAAAAAUUGUGAUAGCUAUGAAAGUUGUUUGUAAAGUCAUUGUAAGCAAGCAGAAGCCUAACUGAUCUAUGGGUUUUAUAAGUUAACUGUAUUUAACUGAAUUGGAUUUCAAAACUUCAACAAUUUUAAGAACCAUAACUUCAACAAUGAGCUCCGCCCAUACUGCAUAGUAAGUUAUAAAAGGCCCCUAGAUGACAAUUGUAAAACAAUUCAAACAAUAAAACUGACAUUUUAUUUAUUUACAAAAUAAUGAAUGAAAAACAAAUAGUAACAGUACAACACAAGAACAACUUAACUCAGAUGGAUACACAUAGAAAUACAUAUAACAAAACACACAGUGGACGUGGCAAGAUACUUGUUCACCCAAAUAACAUAAAAAAUACAGAUAUGACUACUAGCAGUUAUUGACAGCUUGUCCAAGGCUGAUAACAAUUGAUUAAAAAAUAUCAUGCAUCUAAAACUAAUAUAUGUAAAUUAUAGAUAUGUGUUGGGUUUAUUUAAAUAUUUAUGCUUUUUCAUGCUUGAAAUAUCUGUAUAAUUAAUUGUUUACCCCACUGUGAUACAUAUUUUUCAAAUGUUUCUUUAAAUGAUAUUUAGAUUUGUGUUUAGAAUAUUUUUAUAGCAUUUUUCCUGUUGGCCCUCUUAUCAGCCCUAAGUCUAUAUUGUCCUCUGGCUAUUGGAGUCUGAGCCAGAGUGUGAUACCAGAGCCUGAUUGAACUGAUCUUUAUACUGAAGCUAUAAUAGUGAAGGGAAUGAGACAUUUUAAAAAAAGGGUCAAAAGAUCAAUGGUGAAGGUUACUGGUAAAUUUCAGAGGAAACAAUGAAAAAAAAGUAGUUUCCUGCUGGUACCACUGGUUUUCAUAAGCUUUACUUGAUUUUAUUGAAAGUACACAGAUGGACAAGUUUGAAAAGCAACAUAGGCAUAAUGAUAGUUAGGUACAAGGCCAAGCUGACUAUUUGGAAAUGAGUGAUAAAUGUAACGUUCUGACAUUUUCGUGGUAUGAUUAGAAUAAAACGUGCACAAAUUGAAGAUGUAGGAAAGGGGAUGCAGCCUUGUGGGGUUCAUGCUGUAAAUCUCAAGGUCACUGAAAUUUUACUACAAAGAACAAUUCUUCCAAUAUGUGAUUUAAAGAUAGCAGACUUAGUUGUCCCUGCUUGUGUUAUUUUUUAAUUAAUCAAGAUGGUAGAUUUGUAAUGCAUGUUUUGUAUUGAUAAUUAUUGACAUUUUGCUUAUUGUUAUCUUAUGUUGUAUCAACUGCUUUAGUGUGACGUGUGAAAUUUAUAUUUUUUUCUCAAUGAAUAUUUACCAGUUGUUCCGAGAACACAGUUAUUAUUCUUUGCUUUGAUUACAUAUGCCUACAAAUAUAGUCCACCUGUGAACAGUAUAUUAGUUGCAAUGUUUUCCGAAAUUUAUUUCUUCCUGUUAUAUGCCUCAAAUAACAAGAAGGGGGAUGAGAACUAGCUCAUCAUAGGUGCCAGGAUAACUUUCUGAUGUGCGCCAGACGUGUGUUUCAUCUACAAAAGACUUAGCAGGGACACUCGAAUCAAAACAAGUUAGAGACCAGAUAAAGUAGGAAGUUGAAGAGCAUUUAUAAGGACAAAAUUCCUAAAAGUUUUGAUGGCUUAAGUAAUCUAUUCCUGAAGUAGAACAUUUGUUAUAAGAAUGGUAAUACCUUCCAAAUUACACUGUAAAAUAAUUUCUAUCAUAAAUAUUGUAGUGAUUUAGGUCUGCUAAAAAAGGUUAAAAACUAGUAUGUCAGACGCUUUCAAAAGAAUUCAAGACCUCCUUAACAUACAAGUGUCCAUAUUUUAAGUAAGAGCCGAUGAAGUUUUCUAUUAUAUUGAUAUAGUUUGUCCCAAAAGGAGUAGACCACACUAUUAAAAUAUCAUUGAGAAAGCGAAGGUGGAUUUAUUUAACUUUCAUUUGUUGUCUAAAAGAUUUGCACUACGAAAUAACUGUGUCCUCGGGACAAUUUAGAAAUUGUUGAUGGGAUUAUAAGCGAUUUAAAAAAAAUUGAAAAGCUAGAUAUUGUAAUGUUUGCGAUUUCUAUAGUAAUUACUAAAGUUUCUUCAUUUACCAAAUUUAUUUAGAUGAACAUAUAUAUAUAUGCAUAUUAAAGGAUACCA
rnacentral:lncRNA from 1 species